rnacentral:misc_RNA from 1 species
UUCAAAUCCUCAAUUAUUUUAAAUGCAUCCCUGUCCAUACGAUGCCAAGCUUACAUGUGAUAAGUGAAACGCAUCCACUUUGACCUCUUAAGUCUGAACGCGGUGCCGACGGCUCUUCAUGGCCUUCCCUCAACUAUUUAGUUGGCUACUGGUUAGUUUGAAAUGUUUACAAGUCACUUUGGAUGGAGAGAGUUCAGAUUGAAGAAUCAAGAUUUGCAAUCUCUAAUGGCAAGUUAUUUGUUUAUGGCAAAUUUAAGGACUAAAUUGAGAUUUUUCUUAUCCAAACAUAUAGUACCCAGCCUCUUUUCUUGCAGUCCAUCCAAAAAGAGGGACAUAAAUGGAUUGGUUGAGUGGUAACUUGAUUUCCAAUCUUUUUGAAAUCCAUCUUACACUCUAGUUCCAAUAAUUGUCAAGUACAUGUAAGAUAUAAAUAAAUUGCACGUAUCUUUGCAUUUAUUUGGGCGUUCAAAAGAUUUUUCACAUUGAAGAUAUCAAAGAAAGCUUAAAAAAUCUCCAUUUCUGAGGCAUCCAAUGUAUAUGAACCUUUUGAACCAUUGUCAUGCCUUGUUUUCUUUCUUGGAUCUAACACAUAUUCCAAAGGCCUACUUGUCAAAGGACUACAAGAUGACAAGGACAAGCUCACUCAUCUUUGCCUAGCGAACUUGGCAUCUGCUUUCUUGUGCCGUGAAAAUCAGCUUGGCUUUGUCUUUUAAAGGGUGGUUGUGAG